rnacentral:misc_RNA from 1 species
AUCAGUAUUGUUCUCGAAGCCUCGAUAGAACAGUCGGUAGUUUAAUGUUUAUCAUUGUGUGCUCACUGUUCGUGAAAGAUUAAACUUAAAUUCAUUAUUUUCUGAGAAAAGUAUUCGUAGAACUAAGUUAUUUUUUAUAACAAUCAAGGAUGUCGCACAGAGCAUAUACGCCAUGUUCUCCUUCGAUGGCUCACUAUCCAUAUUCUCCAUCUUCUAAUUAUGGUUUUCCAGUGGACUAUUAUAGUGAUUCAAAUGCUCCCAACUAUCCUCAUCCUGAUGCCUCAUUUGCUGAUCUGCAAGCAUUCUGCAACAGGAGUAGGAAUUCUACAGCAGGAAGUGCAUAUGCUCCAUCUCUUCCGGACUCUGAUGUACAAUCUCAGUACUUUGUAGCUGAUUUGGUAACAACCAAUGAUGCUUGCUUUCCCAGGAGCAGAAACUCCAUGGCAGGAAGUCUUGCCAACUCCCUUCCGGAUUUUGACACAUCACAAUAUGAAACCAAUGAUGACGGCGUUGAUUACGGCUACGUACCUGUGGGCAACGAAAAUGGCGGUGAAGAUGAGGACGAUGAUGAUGGAGCGGAUUGGUUUGACAUGGAAGCUCUGACUGGUUUAAGCAUCGAUGAAUUAGACGAGAAUGGUUUGGGCGAUCCUUCAUGGAGGUUUGAAUUCCCUCUACCUAUGCUUCCCGUCGUGCCUGUGUUGGAAUUGAAGACGGAAAUAUUUGAUGGCCAAACUUUUUACGUUGAUGAUGAAGGAUAUGUACAAGCAUAUACCCAAGGAGAGUGUCGAGUUCCUUUCACUGGAAAAGCAUCCAUCGGAGUUUGGUUUGGACCAAACCACCAAGCGAAUGUAAGCGAACGUCUUCAUCGCGGUCGGCGAACUCAAGAAGCAGCUCGUUUUGCUGCAGUAAUUGAAGCCAUUAGAGUAGCUGGAGCCCACGGGAUUAAAAAAUUGCAGAUCAAUACGGAUUAUGAAAAUAUAAUCCGUUUCAUGAUUUACUUCAUCUUGAAGUGGGAGCAGAAUGACUGGAUGACAUUGAGAGGACAUCAUGUCAAGAACAAAGUGCUGAUUCUGGAAUUAGACUACUUUUCACGACUUCUUGAUAUUAAAUGGAAUUAUGUCCCCUACUACGAGGGUGCCGAAGGCAAUUUGGAAGCAGCUCAUCUUGCACUGGAGGCUCAUGAUCUGCAAUUACCACAAGUGAGAAAAACUGCAGAAGAGAUGGAGAUGGACGUUGUUCAGGAUGAGCAACCUAAAGGAUCAACUUCAAACGAAGAGGUUACGAAAAAGCGACGGUUUGUUCCUAUUGUGUAUUAAGUUCUGUGUUUCGGUUAUCGUUGGAUGCCCGAAAUUGUUUCUUCGUUUUAGAAACAUUGUGUGCUCCAAUGUUAACAAUUAUUUGCUAAUUUAAAUCCAGCCUAACCAAUCCUGGUUAAUUCGUAAUCAUUAAGCGUCUGGUAACAGUUUAUAUUAACCAAGAAAUUGUUUUUGUUAUUAUUUUUGAAAAAAUACGUGAAUACCCAACAGAGGAAUUGCUGUAAUUUUCAUUACCUUAUCAGGUAAAAAAGGAAAAUACAUUUUCAGUUGUGAUUAAA